rnacentral:rRNA from 1 species
GAUGAACGCUAGCUACAGGCUUAACACAUGCAAGUCGAGGGGCAGCAUGAACAAAGCUUGCUUUGUUUGAUGGCGACCGGCGCACGGGUGCGUAACACGUAUCCAAUCUGCCCGCGGCUCGGGGAUAGCCCAUCGAAAGAUGGAUUAAUACCCGAUGGCGUGGUCACUCCGCAUGGAGUUUCCACUAAAGGUUUUCCGGCCGCGGAUGAGGAUGCGUAUGAUUAGGUAGUAGGCGGGGUAACGGCCCACCUAGCCUUCGAUCGUUAGGGGUUCUGAGAGGAAGGUCCCCCACACUGGAACUGAGACACGGUCCAGACUCCUACGGGAGGCAGCAGUGAGGAAUAUUGGUCAAUGGGCGCGAGCCUGACCAGCCAAGUAGCGUGAAGGAUGACUGCCCUACGGGUUGU